GGCCUGAACUAAGUGGAACCUGCCUUGAUGUCUUCGGUUGGGGCGACCAUGGGGAAUACAAAACCCCCACGUGGAAGGGGAGCACACCCCUAAGUUACUUCUUCUCCCGCAAGCCAGAGCAACGGCUCUAACCAGCAGAAAUUCUGACCAAAAUGAUCCGGUAAUACCGAUCAACGAACCAAGUUACCAUAGGGAUAACAGCGA
rnacentral:rRNA from 1 species